GGAACAGAGAGAGAGUAGAACAGGAUGAGACAGGGAGGAACAGAGAGAGUAGAACAGGAUGAGACAGGGAGGAACGGAGAGAGUAGAACAGGAUGAGACAGGGAGGAACAGAGAGAGUAGAACAGGAUGAGACAGGGAGGAACAGAGAGAGAGAGUAGAACAGGAUUAGACAGGGAGGAACAGAGAGAGUAGAACAGGAUGAGACAGGGAGGAACAGAGAGAGAGAGUAGAACAGGAUGAGACAGGGAGGAACAGAGAGAGUAGAACAGGAUGAGACAGGGAGGAACAGAGAGAGAGUAGAACAGGAUGAGACAGGAAGGAACAGAGAGAGAGUAGAACUGGAUGAGACAGGAAGGAACAGAGAGAGAGAGAGAGUAGAACAGGAUGAGACAGGGAGGAACAGAGAGAGAGUAGAACAGGAUUAGACAGGGAGGAACAGAGAGAGUAGAAUAGGAUGAGACAGGGAGGAACAGAGAGAGAGUAGAACAGGAUGUGACAGGGAGGAACAGAGAGAGAGAGUAGAACAGGAUGAGACAGGGAGGAACAGAGAGAGAGUAGAACAGGGAGGAACAGAGAGAGUAGAACAGGAUGAGACAGGGAGGAACAGAGAGAGAGAGUAGAACAGGAUUAGACAGGGAGGAACAGAGAGAGUAGAACAGGAUGAGACAGGGAGGAACAGAGAGAGUAGAACAGGAUGAGACAGGGAGGAACAGAGAGAGAGUAGAACAGGAUGAGACAGGGAGGAACAGAGAGAGUAGAACAGGAUGAGACAGGGAGGAACAGAGAGAGAGUAGAACAGGAUGAGACAGGGAGGAACAGAGAGAGAGAGUAGAACAGGAUGGACAGGGAGGAACAGAGAGAAUAGAACAGGAUGAGACAGGGAGGAACAGAGAGAGUAGAACAGGAUGAGACAGGGAGGAACAGAGAGAGAGAGUAGAACAGGAUGAGACAGGGAGGAACAGAGAGAGUAGAACAGGAUGAGACAGGGAGGAACAGAGAGAGAGUAGAACAGGAUGAGACAGGGAGGAACAGAGAGAGAGUAGAACAGGAUUAGACAGGGAGGAACAGAGAGAGUAGAACAGGAUGAGACAGGGAGGAACAGAGAGAGUAGAACAG
rnacentral:lncRNA from 1 species